rnacentral:rRNA from 1 species
CCUACGGGAGGCAGCAGUGAGGAAUAUUGGUCAAUGGGCGCGAGCCUGAACCAGCCAAGUCGCGUGAGGGAAGACGGUCCUCUGGAUUGUAAACCUCUUUUGUCGGGGAGCAAAAGCCGCCACGCGUGGCGUUCCGAGAGUACCCGAAGAAAAAGAAUCGGCUAACUCCGUGCACGCAGCCGCGGUACGACGGAGGAUGCGAGCGUUAUCCGGAUUUAUUGGGGUUAAAGGGUGAGCAGGCGGUCUGUUAAGUCAGCGGUCAAAGCCCGGGUCUCAACCCCGGCCCGCCGUUGAAACUGGCAGUCUCGAGUUGGAGAGAAGUAUGCGGAAUGCGCGGUGUAGCGGGGAAAUGCAGAGAUAACGCGCAGAACUCAGAUUGCGAAGGCAGAAGGCCGGCUCCACACUGACGCUGAGGCACGAAAGCGUGGGUAUCGAACAGGAUUAGAUACCCGUGUAGUG